GAGUUUGAUCAUGGCUCAGAACGUACGCUGGCGGCACGCCUAACACAUGCAAGCCGAACGAAGUAGCAAUACUUAGUGGCAGACGGGUGAGUAACAUGUAGGUAUCUGCCCUUUGGCCUGGAAUAACACGAGGAAACUUGUGCUAAUACCGGAUAAGUCUUUACGGAGAAAGCUUUAUGCACCAUUGGAUGAGCCUGCACUUGAUUAGUUUGUUGGUGGGGUAAUGGCCUACCAAGACUGUGGUCAAUAGCUGAUUUGAGAGGAUGAUCAGCCACAUUGGGACUGAGACACGGCCCAAACUCCUACGGGAGGCAGCAGUGGGGAAUCUUGCACAAUGGAGGAAACUCUGAUGCAGCGAUGCCGCGUGAGUGAAGAAGGCCUCUGGGUUGUAAAGCUCUUUCGUCGGGGAAGAAAAUGACUGUACCCGAAUAAGAAGGUCCGGCUAACUUCGUGCCAGCAGCCGCGGUAAUACGAAGGGACCUAGCGUAGUUCGGAAUUACUGGGCUUAAAGAGUUCGUAGGUGGUUGAAAAAGUUGGUGGUGAAAUCCCAGAGCUUAACUCUGGAACUGCCAUCAAAACUUUUCAGCUAGAGUGUGAUAGAGGAAAGCAGAAUUUCUAGUGUAGAGGUGAAAUUCGUAGAUAUUAGAAAGAAUACCAAUUGCGAAGGCAGCUUUCUGGAUCAUUACUGACACUGAGGAACGAAAGCAUGGGUAGCGAAGAGGAUUAGAUACCCUCGUAGUCCAUGCCGUAAACGAUGUGUGUUAGACGUUGGAAAUUUAUUUUCAGUGUCGCAGGGAAACCGAUAAACACACCGCCUGGGGAGUACGACCGCAAGGUUAAAACUCAAAUGAAUUGACGGGGACCCGCACAAGUAGUGGAGCAUGUGGUUUAAUUCGAAGAUACGCGCAGAACCUUACCAACACUUGACAUGUUCGUCGCGACUCUAAGAGAUUAGAGUUUUCGGUUCGGCCGGACGAAACACAGGUGCUGCAUGGCUGUCGUCAGCUCGUGUCGUGAGAUGCUGGGUUAAGUCCCGCAACGAGCGCAACCCUCACUUUUAGUUGCCAUCAUUAAGUUGGGCACUCUGAAAGAACUGCCAGUGAUAAGCUGGAGGAAGGUGGGGAUGACGUCAAGUCCUCAUGGCCCUUACGUGUUGGGCUACACACGUGCUACAAUGGUAUCUACAACAGGAAGCAAAACUGCGAAGUUAAGCAAAUCCCUAAAAGAUACCUCAGUUCGGAUUGCACUCUGCAACUCGAGUGCAUGAAGCUGGAAUUACUAGUAAUCGUGGAUCAGCGUGCCACGGUGAAUGCGUUCCCGGGUCUUGUACACACCGCCCGUCACACCAUGGGAGUUGGUUUUACCUUAAGGCAAGGUUUCAAACCCUUGACCACGGUAUAGUCAGCGACUGGGGUGAAGUCGUAACAAGGUAACC
rnacentral:rRNA from 1 species